AGCAGCCGCGGUAAUUCCAGCUCCAAUAGCGUAUAUUAAAGUUGUUGCAGUUAAAAAGCUCGUAGUUGAAUUUCGGGAUCAAUACGUCGGUCGUGCCUCGGUACGUACUGGCGUCAUUGAUUUCUCCCUUCUGAAGAACCGUGAUGCCAUUAACUUGGUGUCAUGGGAAAUCAGGACUGUUACUUUGAAAAAAUUAGAGUGUUUAAAGCAGGCUCACGCUUGAAUACAUUAGCAUGGAAUAAUGAAAUAGGACGUUCGACCCUAUUUUGUUGGUUUCUAGGAUCAACGUAAUGAUUAAUAGGGAUAGUUGGGGGCAUUAGUAUUCAAUUGUCAGAGGUGAAAUUCUUGGAUUUAUUGAAGACUAACUACUGCGAAAGCAUUUGCCAAGGAUGUUUUCAUUAAUCAAGAACGAAAGUUAAGGGGUAGUCGAAAGACGAUCAGAUACCGUCGUAGUCUUAACCAUAAACUAUAGCCGACUAGGGAUCGGAUGAUGUUAAUUUUUAAUGACUCAUUCGNGUCC
rnacentral:rRNA from 1 species